AUGGUUAAGUUAGAAAGGGCGCACGGUGGAUGCCUUGGCACUAGGAGCCGAUGAAGGACGGUACUAACACCGAUAUGCUUCGGGGAGCUGUAAGUAAGCUGUGAUCCGAAGAUUUCCGAAUGGGGGAACCCCGUAUCCGUAAUGGGAUAUGAUCUUUCACUGAAUACAUAGGUGAUUGAAGGCAGACCCAGGGAACUGAAACAUCUAAGUACCUGGAGGAAGAGAAAGCAAAUGCGAUUCCCUGAGUAGCGGCGAGCGAAACGGGAUCAGCCCAAACCAAGAGGCUUGCCUCUUGGGGUUGUAGGACACUCUAUACGGAGUUACAAAGGACAUAAUUAGACGAAGCGGUCUGGAAAGGCCCAUCAGAGAAGGUAACAAUCCUGUAGUCGAAAGUUAUGUCCCUCCAGAGUGGAUCCUGAGUACGGCGGAACACGUGAAAUUCCGUCGGAAUCCGGGAGGACCAUCUCCCAAGGCUAAAUACUCCCUAGUGACCGAUAGUGAACCAGUACCGUGAGGGAAAGGUGAAAAGCACCCCGGAAGGGGAGUGAAAUAGAUCCUGAAACCGUGUGCCUACAAGUAGUCAGAGCCCAUUUACGGGUGAUGGCGUGCCUUUUGUAGAAUGAACCGGCGAGUUACGAUUUGAUGCAAGGUUAAGCUGAUAAGGCGGAGCCGCAGCGAAAGCGAGUCUGAAUAGGGCGAUUUGAGUAUCAGGUUGUAGACCCGAAACCAGGUGAUCUACCCAUGUCCAGGGUGAAGGUGAGGUAACACUUACUGGAGGCCCGAACCCACGCACGUUGAAAAGUGCGGGGAUGAGGUGUGGGUAGCGGAGAAAUUCCAAUCGAACCUGGAGAUAGCUGGUUCUCUCCGAAAUAGCUUUAGGGCUAGCCUCAUGUAGUUAGAGUCUUGGAGGUAGAGCACUGUUUGGACUAGGGGCCCCCAACGGGUUACCGAAUUCAGACAAACUCCGAAUGCCAAAGACUUAUCCAUGGGAGUCAGACUGCGAGUGAUAAGAUCCGUAGUCGAAAGGGAAACAGCCCAGACCACCAGCUAAGGUCCCCAAGUAAUCGUUAAGUGGAAAAGGAUGUGGGGUUGCUUAGACAACCAGGAUGUUGGCUUAGAAGCAGCCACCAUUUAAAGAGUGCGUAAUAGCUCACUGGUCGAGUGACCCUGCGCCGAAAAUGUACCGGGGCUAAACGAUUCACCGAAGCUGUGGAUGAAAUCUCUCAGAGAUUUCGUGGUAGGAGAGCGUUCUAAGCGCUGUGAAGUCAGACCGGAAGGACUGGUGGAGCACUUAGAAGUGAGAAUGCCGGUAUGAGUAGCGAAAGAAGAGUGAGAAUCUCUUCCACCGAAUGCCCAAGGUUUCCUGAGGAAGGCUCGUCCGCUCAGGGUUAGUCGGGACCUAAGCCGAGGCCGAUAGGCGUAGGCGAUGGACAACAGGUUGAUAUUCCUGUACCACCAACGCAUCAUUUGAGUGAUGGGGGGACGCAGGAGGAUAGGAGAGCGCGCUGUUGGAUAUGCGCGUUUAAGCAGUUAGGCAGGAAA
rnacentral:rRNA from 1 species